UCUACAUUACCCAGGUCUACAUUACUUUACACAUUACCACACAGGUACACACAGGUACACACGGGUACACACAGCUACACACAGCUACACAGAGCUACACACAGGUACACAUGGGUACACACAGCUACACACAGCUACACACAGCUACACACAGGUCUACAUUACUCUACAUUACUUUACACAGCUACACACAGGUACACACAGGUACACACAGGUACACACAGGUACACACGGGUACACACAGGUACACACAGGUACACACGGGUACACACAGGUACACACAGCUACACACAGGUACACACGGGUACACACAGGUACACACAGCUACACACAGGUACACACGGGUACACACAGGUACACACAGGUACACACGGGUACACACAGCUACACACAGGUACACACAGGUACACACGGGUACACACAGCUACACACAGGUACACACGGGUACACACAGCUACACACAGCUACACACAGGUACACACGGGUACACACAGCUACACACAGGUACACACAGGUACACACAGGUACACACAGGUACAUUACUCUACAGAAGGAUGACAGAAUAUCUCCUAAAGAACACGUCUUACCUUCAGAUACAAAAGCAUCUUUGAAUGAGAGACAAAAAUAAGGGACGUGUGAGUCAGUUGUUAGAAUUAUUUCAAAAGCUUUUCCACGAGGUGGAGAAAGUAAGGAAACAGCCCAAGUGUUGCACCUCUAAUGUGUAAUGAAGCAAUGAAAAACUCUGUGAGUGUGUGUGUGUGUGUGUGUGUGUGUGUGUGUGUGUGUGUGUGUGUGUGUGUGUGUUUGUUUUCCGUUGACCAUAUUUCUCACAAAGUAAACACAUCAAAUGAAGCCAUUUAUCCAUUUGUCCAACUUUUCAUCCCCCAAAAAUGUGUAGUUGCAUCAUACAAGCGUUGAAGUGCAGUUUUCUGAAUAGUGACUGUAAAGCCGUCCUUCUGUCAUCGGAGUGGAAAUAAAAGCUUUUAUUAAAACAAGCUUCGCGGACCAGAGGCACUGCGCAUGUCGAAGCAUUAACGGGGGGCACCUCAGUGCUUCCAAAUUGGCCCAUAAAAACAAAGUCCAACGUAACAGAAACCUAAAUCUAAUAUAAAAGAAGAAUGCUGAAAACACGCAGGCCGGAGGAGCCUGUAAAUCACCUGAUUAGUCCUUCGCAGGUACGGUAAACAGAAUAAAAAAUAAUGGCUGUGUGCGCGGCCCAUGCGGGGCGCUUUGGUGUGUGAACCGGCCGGUGUGCGCGUGCACAGAGUAACAAGUCGUACUCGUAGUAAUUCUGUGGAAUUCCUGUGGUCCUGCAGCAGCCGGCACCUUUGGAUUUACAGGUGAGCAAACACCAGGUGACUUUCUGUGUGUGCAAAAAGAGACACAACGAGACAAAGGGAAAUUUACAGCUCAAGAAACUGUGCGUUGCUUCUGAGGGAGGAGGCUUAAAUCACAGUAAUAUACUGUAAUAAUAUAAAUACACCGAGGCGUUGUAAAUGCUCAGCAUGUCGCCAAUGAAACAGAAGAAUUCCUGGUUGCAGCUUGAAUGAAUAAAGUGGCCGAAUGCUUCCCUGGAAUCAAGUCUUCACACUUUCGGUGCUCAGUUUUAAAAGCAGGACCGUUGUUGUAGUUUCAGUCUAACGGCGGAACAACAAUAUAUUCAACAGCAAUGUUGAGCAAAAAGAAAAAACUUCUUUCUAAGAGAUAUUUUGUUGUUCAUAAUUACUUACUCCACAAUUAGCAGUUAGAAUUUAGAUGCAGAAAUGUCCCUCCAGUGAAUAAUGCUGAAUCCAUUCCAGACACAAUCUCAGAUGUUGAAGGUCAACGAUCGGAACUUAAAGUGACGUUACUGGUACUUAAACGUGAAGAUUCAACCGGUUUGAACCCAUCAGACUGUUAAACGCUCAGAUCCACCAGUCAGCCGUUUCAUGGUGAUUUGUGAUGAUGGUCCGUAACUGGGAGAGAUUAAGACGGAUGUUUCAUGCUGUUAGUAAAAUAUAUGUGUUUUUCAUUUUGUUUUUUCUUCUGGUCUGUGAGUUCUGGGUUUGACCCUUUGACUGUGAGACAAACUCGCAUUCAAAGAAAACUCGGAUAUUUAUUGGAUUUGGACUUUUCCGAUUUUCAGAGCGGAGAGGUGCCCACUGUGACGAUAAACAUGCUUCUAAUUAAUAAAAGGAAGGAAGCUGGUCAUUCUUUGGUCAUAAAAUCCAUUGAGUUUGACAAAGAGUGUCUGGAAUUUCUGGACCACAAAUUGCCAUGCAGACGUCUCAGAGUGCAGAAAGACAAGGCCGGAGAGACAAAAGAACGGAGAAGAGGGACGGGGAGGGGAGUGAGAGGAAUAAACACAAGAAUGAAAUGGAAAGCAGAUGGCAAGAGAGACGGCUGACAGAAAUUCUAACGCCCCGAGAAGCACGUUGAAGUCAGAAAGGUGGUAAAUGCACAUUUUCACAACUCAGGUACAAUUCUCAGUUACAGGAAAUAUCAUUUUCUGUCAUCGACAACAAUAAAUAACCAGAGAUAUUUGGACUCAUAGACAGGAGCUAUGCAACCCAGGGCUCAACACCUUUAAGAGUGCAGAGGGAGUGAGAAAACGGAGAUAUAUAUAUAUAUAUGACUUAGUGUGUCAGCACAUGAGCUCAUGACUGCAGCCUCACUGUAACAUCGGUGUUAAGUGCUCGUAAAUUCCGCUUUGCUCGGCAUUACCUCACAUUGUGGGGGAGCAAGAAAUUAAGUUAAUAAUAUCGCUCUUAAGACUUAAACUCUCAUUUUACUGUUUUUCAUGAAACAUUGUAAAAUGGGACUGGGGAGGUGGGGGGGGGGGGCAGAAAGGCAGCCGCUGCCCCCCACUGGUGCACGUCGUGACAGACGGAUUGUCCACAGCAGCCUGGAGGUACUGAAUUCUGCUGCAGGGUUAGGGUUAGGGGUUAGGGUUAGGGGCCACCCGGCAUGCGAGCGCUUCACCGUGCAACUCCCCCCCUACAACUCCUACAUGAUCAUAAAUGUGACAAAAUCACUUCUGUGAGUUAGUUUAAGGGGUGUUUAGUGCUAAAUGCUCGUUGGAAAGAGCUGCUUUUCUUCUUCUCAUCACUUGAAACACAAAGUGUUUGAACUUAUUGCAUACUCCAUCUGCUCCACACUGCUAGAGCCGCCUCUCUCUCCUCUGUCCUCGUCCUUCUGGACCUCUCUGCUGCAUUUGACACAGUCAACCACCAGAUCCUGAUCUCCUCCCUUCAGGAACUUGGUGUCUCAGGCUCUGCUCUCUCCCUUCUCUCGUCCUACCUCGACGGCCGCACCUACCGGGUAACCUGACGACGAUCUGUGUCGGAACCGUGUCCUCUUACUACGGGAGUUCCUCAGGGUUCCGUCCUGGGUCCCCUCCUCUUCUCGCUCUACAACAACUCUCUCGGCGCUGUCAUUCGCUCGCAUAGCUUCUCCUACCACAGCUAUGCCGAUGACACCCAACUAAUUCUCUCCUUCCCUCCCUCGGACACCCAGGUGGCGGCUCGGAUCUCUGCCUGUCUGACUGACAUCUCUCAGUGGAUGUCCGCCUACCAUCUGAACAUCAACCUCGACAAGACUGAACUACUUCUCUUUCCAGAAAAAGACUCUCCAACCCAGGACUUGACUGUCAACUUUGGAAACUCCGUGUUAACGCCCACUUUGACCGCUAAGAACCUCGGCGUCACACUCGACAGCCAACUCUCCCUGACUCCCAACAUCACUGCGACAACGCGAUCCUGUAGAUACACGCUCUACAACAUCAGGAGAAUACGUCCUCUUCUCACUCAGAAGGCAGCGCAGGUACUGAUUCAGGCUCUUGUCAUCUCCCGCCUGGACUACUGCAACUCCCUCCUGGCUGGUCUCCCUGCCACCGCCAUUCGACCUCUGCAGCUCAUCCAGAAUGCAGCUGGUCUUUAACCUUCCUAAAUUCUCCCACACUACUCCACUCCUCCGCUCUCUUCACUGGCUACCGGUGGCCGCCCGCAUCCAGUUCAAAACAUUGGUGCUCAGGUACCAUGCUGUGAAUGGAUCGGGUCCAGUUUACAUCCAGGACCUGGUCAAACCCUACAUCCCAACCCGCACUCUCCGCUCUGCAUCUGCAAAACUGCUCGUCCCUCCCUCACUGAGAGCAAAACACUCGACUAGAUCAGUGGUCCACAACCACCGGGCCGCGGACCGGUACCGGUCCGAGGACCGUUUGGUACCGGGCGGCACCACAGAAAGCUUAUUUUUAUUUUUUUUCUGAAAAAUGUUUUAUUUUGAAAAUUGACCGGAUUUUCUCCUAAUUAUGUGCGCUCGUCCCUCUGACAUAUUCCCCACGCGGCACCAGGCGUUUUUCUUCACGUUUACAAUUGUCCUCUUACCGUGCACGUGCACGGCAGCGCGUGCUUUGGAUAAAAGCGUCAGCUAAAUGACAUGUAAUGUAAUGUAAUGUAAUCUGCUCCUCUGGAUUACAACCCGGUUUGUAUGUUCUCCCCAGAAGGUGUGCGUCCUUCCCGUUGUCCAUGCAGGUUAUGCUACAGCGUGGGCUGGCACAGGCUCCGCCCCCUGACCCAAAGGUAGGUGUGAAUAGAGGAUGGACAUGAUGCAAAUAACAUGAUGCUAAAACUGACGCGAUGUGUCGUUGAUUGGAGGGAAUGUUCAAUGAUCUGAUCACCGUGCGGACCCAGAGUCAGUCCUUCCUCUGGUGGGUCGGCCACCAAUCAACGUCCUUGUGAACUCUACCAGGCUCUGCUUUCACAGCUGCUCCACUAGAUUACACCUUUUAUUUUCCUAGACUGGGGGCUAAAUAUCUCCCGUUUGCUUAACAGGCCCCCAUGGUCGCUUAGGCAAAUGUGCAAUCGGCGUGUGUGUGUGUGUGUGUGUUUGGGUGCGUGGGGGGGGGGAGACUACCUGGCAUCCAGAUGUGGAACAUGGAGUUCUGCUAUUGUUUCCCAUGUAGUGUGCAGAGAGGUGGCGUUACUGCGUUGUAGCAGAAGACAGGUGAGAACAGCCCCCUCAGGAUGCGUCAGGUAGCGUUGCUAUGGUAACCGUAGCAGCAGUAACGGUAAUGGUAGUCAUGGAGCCGGUUAAAGUGUAUCCAGUACCAAACUAAAUUGAAUUCUAAAAAUGUAAUUUUAUGAUUAUCUCUGGUUCAAAGUAAAACAUUUUAACACAGGAAGUGGAACGUUGGAAUGCACACAUGAUGUGAUUUGUAUUUCCAGCAAAGUCAGAUAAAACUUUUCUGUUCAUACAGCCAAUUAACAAUUAUUAAAAUCAAUGGGCGUUGAUGCUUUAUUCUGUGUAGCACGUACAGGAUAGAACAUGCACAUAAUGCAGAACAGUUUAUUGUCAUUUGGAACGAACAUUCAGCGGGAAGAAUGAUGAAUCCAAAACCAACCAGUUUGGUCUGUGUGGAUAUUUAGCGAGAAGGACGUCAUAAAAACCUCAUGGCACAGACCCACCCCCCUCCCUCCCCCUUUUUCCUUUCUUUUACUUUUUCUGUCAAAUGUAUGCAUGCAUUUGAUAUUAUGUCUACUUCCCCGUCACCUGAAGGU
ensembl:lncRNA